rnacentral:lncRNA from 1 species
AUUUUCGAAAUCUUUUGAUAAUUUAGAUCAGCAAUAAAACAGGAAACACUAUCCCACAAUCCCUAAAAUUUCGAGUUUUCAGUUAUCAUCACAAAACAGCUGUUAACAGGGAUUCGAGACCAUCAGACUGCGAAUCGAGACCAUCAGAUCUCGACUCGAGACCACAAGGUCUCGACUUAAAAUCAUAAGAGCUCUCAAAUCUUUACAACUCGAGACAAGGGUCUCGACUCGAGACCAUAAGGUCAUAACUUGAGACCAUAAGGUUGCGACUCGAGACCAUAAAGCUACAACUCAAGACCAAGGUUGCGACUCGAGACCAUAAGGUCAUAACUCGAGACCAUAAGGUUGCGACUUGAGACCAUAAGGCUACAACUCGAGACUAAGGUUGCGACUCGAGACCUCAUAACUAACUCGAUAUCUCAAAACUCAGUCGAGACCUAACUCGAGACCAUGACUCGAAACCUCACUCGAGACCUCAUUACCUUAGGCUGUUUGA